rnacentral:rRNA from 1 species
UACGAAGGGGGCUAGCGUUGCUCGGAAUCACUGGGCGUAAAGGGUGCGUAGGCGGGUCUUUAAGUCAGGGGUGAAAUCCUGGAGCUCAACUCCAGAACUGCCUUUGAUACUGAAGAUCUCGAGUCCGGGAGAGGUGAGUGGAACUGCGAGUGUAGAGGUGAAAUUCGUAGAUAUUCGCAAGAACACCAGUGGCGAAGGCGGCUCACUGG